rnacentral:hammerhead_ribozyme from 1 species
AUAAACUGACAAGUCCUGAAUAGGACGAAACGCACGUCCUGGAU